rnacentral:lncRNA from 1 species
AAUAUUAGAGUUGAGCUGGAAUACUGUUAAUAGUAUUUAAAAUUUUUUAUUAUCUAUUUUUAAGUCAUUAGAUUUAUACUUCAAUCAAUUAUACCAUUUAAAUCAUACCAUUCAACUAAUUAGACGCUUAAUGUUAGAGGAACUACCAGUAAACCUUAAUAGACCAUUAUCAUUCUAACCUCACAAUUUUUCAUACAAAAGUUAAAAACUCGAUAACAAUAAAAUCCAAAUACUUUCAAUAAUAUUCCAGACCAAUUCUGAAAACUAUAUGUGAAUCAAAUUUACAAUAAUAUAAUUAAAUUCAAAUUUUGAAUUUUUUAAAUAUCAUUACUUUGACUUCAUCCCACUUGGAGGCGAAAUCAAUUACAGAAAAAAAAUGUGCAAAAAAAUAUAUAGUAAAAGAAAAAAAAAAAGAGAUUUUGUAUAUUAUACUUUGAGUCCGGCUGGGAUACUAUCGAUAGCACCAAAUAUUUGAUGCUAUCAAGUUUUUCACUAUUAGAUUUAAUUCUUUGACUAUUUUCUAGAUUAUCUUAUUCAACCAAUAACUUACUCAACCUUAGAAGAUCCACAUCAUUCUAACCAAAUAUUUUUUUUCACCUAAGGGCCGAAAAUCUAAUAGCAUCAAUAGCUUGGUGCUAUUGAUAACAUUACAGUCUAGGUCCUAU